AGUGAACGCUGGCGGUAGGCCUAACACAUGCAAGUCGAACGGCAGCGCAGUAAGAGCUUGCUCUUACGGGUGGCGAGUGGCGGACGGGUGAGGAAUACAUCGGAAUCUACUUUUUCGUGGGGGAUAACGUAGGGAAACUUACGCUAAUACCGCAUACGACCUACGGGUGAAAGCAGGGGAUCUUCGGACCUUGCGCGAUUGAAUGAGCCGAUGUCGGAUUAGCUAGUUGGCGGGGUAAAGGCCCACCAAGGCGACGAUCCGUAGCUGGUCUGAGAGGAUGAUCAGCCACACUGGAACUGAGACACGGUCCAGACUCCUACGGGAGGCAGCAGUGGGGACUAUUGGACAAUGGGCGCAAGCCUGAUCCAGCCAUACCGGGUGGGUGAAGAAGGCCUUCGGGUUGUAAAGCCCUUUUGUUGGGAAAGAAAAGCAGCAGGUUAAUACCCCGCUGUUCUGACGGUACCCAAAGAAUAAGCACCGGCUAACUUCGUG
rnacentral:rRNA from 1 species